rnacentral:rRNA from 1 species
AAUAUUGGACAAUGGGCGAAAGCCUGAUCCAGCCAUGCCGCGUGUGUGAAGAAGGUCUUCGGAUUGUAAAGCACUUUAAGUUGGGAGGAAGGGGUUGAAGCUAAUACCUUCAAUCUUUGACGUUACCAUCAGAAUAAGCACCGGCUAACUCUGUGCCAGCAGUCGCGGUAAUACAGAGGGUGCAAGAGUUAAUCGGAAUUACUGGGCGUAAAGCGCGCGUAGGUGGUUCAGUAAGAUGGAAGUGAAAGCCCCGGGCUUAACCUGGGAAUUGCUUUCAAAACUGACGAGCUAGAGUACGGUAGAGGGUAGUGGAAUUUCCUGUGUAGCGGUGAAAUGCGUAGAUAUAGGAAGGAACACCAGUGGCGAAGGCGACCACCUGGGCUAAUACUGACACUGAGGUGCGAAAGCGUGGGGAGCAAACAGG